CCCGCAUUGCCGCAGAUUCUUUACCGUUUACUGCUCUAGAAAAAAAAUAGUAGGUAGGAAGGAGAGGGCAGGCGAGGGGAAAAAGCCACACCUCUAAGUCGUUAGGCCAAGUGCUGUAGUGGCACGAGCAAGCCUGUGAGGUCUCAGACGGGGGUUCAGGCCUGGACUCCGCCACGACCACGGGCGGGGUUAAUAGAGAGGCACACAGCCAAGCCGUGCAGGUCAACCGAGAGGCACUCCACCCGCUUCCCCCCGCCCCGGCUCCAGGCGUCUACUCCCCCGGUCCGCAGUCGCGCGCCGCUUGCCUCUCCAUCCUUGGUCCAGUUCAGCCUGGCAAGCGUUGCCAUGGCAGCGCCGCGGGCUGGGAUGCGGGAGGCCGAGCGCGCUGCCCCGCUCGCCUCUUUGUGCCGCGGGGGUGUCGGUGCGCUGCCUCCAAACCCGGCCGCACCCCCCACUCAGACCCCGACCCCCGGGACGGGGUGAAGGCAGCUACAAAGACUACGCCGGCUGCGCUCGGGGGACCGGCGGGAGGGAGGCUGCGGACGAGGGCGGGGAGGAGUUUGCGAUGGGAGGCGCCUGCAGGGGCUCCCCCAGUUCUGCGCUGUGAGCCGGGGCACAAAGAGCUCUCUGCACUGGCGCCGCAAGACCGCGGACCCGAGCUGGAGGCAUCUCCCUGCCUACCCGUAUGGUUCCAGACACAUUCAUGUGGCCGCCGUGACCCUACCAGCAUCAAAGGAGUAAUCAAGAGUGCAAGCAAGUUUCUGAGACAGAGGAGAAGGAAGGGAAUUUCCGGGUUCUUGGAGAUGUUCAGGACCACACUGGGAAGCAGCCUUGCAGAUAAGUAUUCAAACUUCCCAGCCCACAGCCUACCAGCCUGCCCUCUACCGGUCCGUGGAGCAAAGUACAGCAUCCCUGAAUCCCCAAGUCCAGGGGGAAAUCAGCGCUCCAGCUCUUUUGCUUUCCUAUCCCUAAGACACAAAGAAAAAGCUUGUCCCCAUUUUAUGGGGCCCCAGAGAGUAAUUUUCCUACCCCACUUUUGACAUCAAGGCUAGUAUUUUACAAACUCCACCCUCAGGGACUUCUGAGGAGCUGAGUUUAGUAACUUCAUCUUGAGAACCUGUAGAUCUGGUGUCAGGAGGAGACUGGGGACUCCUGGUGAUUUGGGCUGGCCCUUCCCUUCUUGGUUCUUGUCCUCUGUCAUCAUAUUUAUAAAACUUGGCUAGGGCUCCUUUUCUUGCCUGGCAGUCAAGUGGGGACCUCGGCACUGUGACCCCUAGGCACGUGCUUCUUGGUUUAAGGGUCUGAGUACCUCUCCUGCUCUGGGCCCGGGCCCCCAAGUCCAGGUGCUGACAGCAAGCUCUGAAGAUGCGGUGAACGGGCCGGGCCUGCCAGUGGGUGAAGAUAACCUUGUCACUGUUUGUUGUUUAGUCCCUGAGUCAUGUCUGAUGCUUUGCCAUCCCAUGGACUGUACCUCCUCUGUCCAUGGGAUUUCCCAGGCAAGAAUACUGGAGUGGGUUGCCAUUUCCUUUUUCAGGGAAUCCUCCUGACCCAGGGAUCCAACCUGCAUCUCGUCUCCUGCAUUAGCAGGCGGAUUCUUUACCACUGAGCCACCAGGGAAGCCCUAAGAUAGCUUAGCUGUCACCAGAAAAGCCUGGGAGAUGGUCCUGGCCCAGGAUUUGUGGGCAUUCUCUGGUCUUCUCCACACUGCAGACAUGGGGAUGUAGCUAAAGAGCCCCAGCCCACCAUCUGGCUCCCCAUGUUUUCUUUUUCUGGGGCAUCAGAAAAGAGGAUAGGAGAUGAGAGUGGGGGGAGUUGGGCAGAAAGAUAACUGAGGUUGGGCCUUCUGCUUCCCAUCCUCUGCCUCAAGCUGCAGGUGGUUACUGCACUUCGGGGGAAUGUCUGGACUGGGAGGACCCUGGGACCUGGAAGGAGGGGCCGCCGGUCCAGCGUGACCCAGGAUAGCGGAGCUGGGAUCAGAUGUCCGGCUUCUCGCCCUGCUCCACACUCUCACUCAACCUGAGCUUGCCCUGCUCUCUCCGG
ensembl:lncRNA